AUGGGGCUGCUGGCUUCGGCACCCCACGUGGUGCCGGAGAAGAAGGCCAAGAAGAAGGCCACGGGGACUCGGAAGAGUUCCCGUUUUCAGGUGCUAUCGGACGAUGAAUCCGAGGCCGACUCCUCCCACCAAGGCGAGGAGGAGAAGAAGAAAGCCUCUCCCCCAGCGGGGGGAGGGAAGAAAAGGAAGGCCUCCCCAACAAGGGAGGCCGAAGGGUCCAAGAGGGGAAAAACUCUUCCCCCGGACUGUUCCGUCAACGCCAGUGACGAUGACGAGGACUGGCCUCCAAGGGCCAAGCCUCUGGCGAGAUCGUAA
rnacentral:rRNA from 1 species